rnacentral:lncRNA from 1 species
UAGAUAUAUAUAUAUAGAGUGGGCUGGUAUGCUUUCGUAAGCACGGAGGCCUCCGUGCUUCCACUUUGUUUUCGAUGUUCGGACUUUCGAAUCGACGAUCGGCUCCGUUAGAGUUGAUCUAGAGUAUUUAAAGUACCAAGAAAUUAAAUUUUGCGAUUUUUCGAUAUAGGCCAUGGCUACUAUAAUAUUAUGAGUAUUGGAGCCCGCGUACUCAUAAGUUGUUUUCAAUGAUGGAGCAUCCGAAUCGACGAUCCAUUCUGUUAAAUAUGAUCUAGAGUAUUUGAAACUUCUAGAAAAUAAAUUUUGUAGAUUUUCGAAAUCAUAAUAAAAUCCAUCAAGUGGGCAUAAAAUGAACGGU